GUACUCGCUUUGGCGGUACAUAUACUAAAGUUGGAACAAUACACAGAAGAUUAGCAUGGCCCCUACGCAAGGACGACACGGAAAAUCGUGAAGCGUUCAGCCGGCGC